GGGGUUGUGGCUCAGCGGUAGAGUGCUCACCUAGCAUGUGCAAGACCCUGGGUUCCAUCCUCAGCACCACA
rnacentral:tRNA from 1 species